UACAGAGGAGCCAAGCGUUGUCCGGAUUGACUGGGCGUAAAGCGCACGCAGGCGGUGGUGCGCGUGGGGUGUGAAAUCUGGCCGCUUAACGGCCAGGCGCCAUCCCAUACGGCACGACUGGAGGGCUGCAGAGGUCGAUGGAAUUGCCGGUGUAGUGGUGAAAUGCGUAGAGAUCGGCAGGAACACCCAGGGGGAAACCAGUCGACUGGGCAGCACCUGACGCUGAGGUGCGAGAGCGUGGGGAGCAAACCGG
rnacentral:rRNA from 1 species